GACGUAGGGCGCGAGCGUUUGUCCGGAUUUAUUGGGCGUAAAGAGCUCGUAGGCGGCUUGUCGCGUCGUCCGUGAAAACUCCAAGGCUCAACCUUGAGCUUGCGGUCGAUACGGGCAGGCUAGAGUUCGGUAGGGGAGACGUGGAAUUCCUGGUGUAGCGGUGAAAUGACGCAGAUAUCAGGAGGAACACCGGUGGCGAAGGCGGGUCUCUGGGCCGAUACUGACGCUGAGGAGCGAAAGCGUGGGGAGCGAACAGG
rnacentral:rRNA from 1 species